rnacentral:rRNA from 1 species
AGGGUUUGAUCCUGGCUCAGAUUGAACGUUGGCGGCAGGCUUAACACAUGCAAGUCGAACGAGAAAGCGCCUUCGGGCGCGAGUACAGUGGCGGACGGGUGAGUAACGCGUAGGAACCUGCCCGGCAGAAGGGGACAACUCGGGGAAACUCGAGCUAAUACCGUAUGACAUCUCUCGUCUUCGCGACGAAGGAUCAAAGGGGGCCUAUCCUUGGAAGCUCCCGCUGCCGGAGGGGCCUGCGUUGGAUUAGCUGGUUGGUAGGGUAACGGCCUACCAAGGCGACGAUCCAUAGCUGGUCUGAGAGGACGAUCAGCCACACUGGAACUGAGACACGGUCCAGACUCCUACGGGAGGCAGCAGUGGGGAAUCUUGGGCAAUGGGCGCAAGCCUGACCCAGCCAUGCCGCGUGUGUGAAGAAGGCCUUCGGGUUGUAAAGCACUUUCAGCGGUGAAGAAAAGCCGGCGGUCAAUAGCCGCGGGUCUUGACGUUAACCGCAGAAGAAGCACCGGCUAACUCCGUGCCAGCAGCCGCGGUAAUACGGAGGGUGCGAACGUUAAUCGGAAUUACUGGGCGUAAAGCGCGCGUAGGCGGUUCGGUAAGUGGGGUGUGAAAGCCCCGGGCUCAACCUGGGAAUUGCAUUCCAAACUGCCGGACUCGAGUAUGGUAGAGGGAGGUAGAAUUUCCUGUGUAGCGGUGGAAUGCGUAGAUAUAGGAAGGAAUACCAAUGGCGAAGGCAGCCUCCUGGACCAAUACUGACGCUGAGGUGCGAAAGCGUGGGGAGC